AUGAUCUUCUCCUUGAGGCAGCUGCAGGAAAAGUGUAGAGAGCAAACGAAACCCUUGUACGUCGCUUUCAUCGAUCUGACCAAGGCGUUUGAUACUGUCAGCAGAAGUGGGCUUUUCCGGGUUCUCGGUAAAAUCGGCUGUCCGCCUAAGCUACUUAAGCUGAUUCAAUCCUUCCAUGCUGAUAUGCAUGACACAAUCCGUUUCAAUGGAUCGACGUCUGACGCUUUUAGCAUCAAAAGUGGUGUCAAGCAGGGAUGCGUGCUCGCUCCAACUCUUUUUGGGAUCUUCUUCGCAGUGCUGCUGAAGCAAGCCUUUGGAAAUUCCACAGAGGGGGUCUACCUACAUACCCGAAGUGAUGGGAACCUGUUUAACCUCGCAAGGCUUAAGGUCCAGUCGAAGGUACGAAAGGUUUUCAUCCAUGAUAUGCUGUUUGCUGAUGACGCUGCUCUGGUGUCACACACACAGGAAGAGCUUCAGCGGCUGAUGGAUUGCUUCUCUCGCACAGUUGGGGCCUCUGGUCUCAAAAUAAGCUUGGAGAAAACCAAUGUUAUGGGACAAAGUACCCCUCAACGUCCAUCAAUCUCCAUCGGCAACUACACUCUUGAGGUCGUUCACGCAUUCAGUUACCUCGGGUCGACCAUCACAGAUACCAUGUCACUGGAGCCUGAGCUCAAUCAAAGAAUAGGAAAAGCCGCCACGAUUCUGUCCAGUCUCAGCAGGAGAGUGUGGAUGAAUGGCAUGCUCUCCAAGCAUACUAAGAUCAAAGUUUACUGUGCUUGUGUUCUUGGAGUUCUGCUCUAUGGAAGUGAAACGUGGACUUUGUAUGCCCACCAGGAGAAAAGAUUGAACACAUUCCACCUGUGUUGCCUCAGACGCAUCCUCCAGAUCUCGUGGAAGGACAAAGUUACUAACAGUGAUGUCCUUAAUCAGGCUGGAUUGCCAAGCAUGCAGACCAUCCUCAGGCAACGCAGGCUACGGUGGCUAGGGCACGUCCGUCGGAUGGAUGAUGGAAGGAUCACGAAAGACAUCCUGUAUGGGGAACUGGCCUUUGGUGUACGACCAACCGGACGGCCUCAUUUGCGCUUCAAGGAUGUGUGCAAAAAGGAUUUGAGAGAGCUUGACAUUAAUGUGAACGGCUGGGAGGAGCUGGCAACUGAUCGUUGCAGCUGGAGGCGGGAACUUCAUCCAAGGUCUGGGACGCGGCGAACAAAAGCUGCGACUACAGGCUGA
rnacentral:lncRNA from 1 species